rnacentral:rRNA from 1 species
GACGAACGCUGGCGGCGUGCUUAACACAUGCAAGUCGAACGAUGAACUCCCGCUUGCGGGGGUGAUUAGUGGCGAACGGGUGAGUAAUACGUGAGUAACCUGCCCGUGACUCUGGGAUAAGCCUGGGAAACCGGGUCAAAUACGGGAUACUACUUCCGGCCGCAUGGGGGGGGGUGGAAAGGGUUUUACUGGUUUUGGAUGGGCUCACGGCCUAUCAGCUUGUUGGUGGAGUAAUGGCUCACCAAGGCGACGACGGGUAGCCGGCCUGAGAGGGUGACCGGCCGCCCUGGGUCUGAGACACGGCCCAGACUCCUACGGGAGGCCGCAGUGGGGAAUCUUGCACCAUGGGCGCAGGCCUGAUGCAGAGACGCCGCGUGUGGGAUGACGGCCUUCGGGUUGUAAACCGCUUUCAGCAGGGAAGAAGCCUGUAGUGACGGUACCUGCAGAAGAAGCGCCGGCUAACUACGUG